AGCUGGUGGCACUUAAUGAUGCUUGUGAUGACACAGUGCUGCUGACCUUUAGGACGGGAGAGCAGAUGCUUCCUCCUUUUUGUGAAAAAGGUCACAGACGCUUUGAUGUGAACGCCACUGCCAAGAGAGUGAGUGGGGUGUGAUGGCGAAGAACAGAUGGAUCCAACCCUAGAGAACCUUUUCUGCUGCGGUGAGCUGGUAAACUCUGAAGCACUUGCUCUGAUUUGCAACCCCCAUGUGAAAAAUGUCCCCUGGCUUGGCAUCUCCAUGUUGAAGGCCACAGAAAUCUGUCCCAAUAUGGCUCCACAGCGAGACCUUGGUGCUGUGUCCUGUGAAUCCUGCCCGGAAUUGCUGUUUUAUUGAGGCAAUAUUCUCUCUAAAUAAUAAUCAGACUUUUAUUGCGUCGUUCAUGCUCGGAGCUGGGGGAGUUUCUUGCUCCAUUGCUUUAUUGUGCCCCAGUUGCUCUUUUCAGCUCUGUUCUCUAGUCUGAGGAAAAUCCGUAAGAGAAAAGCAUAUGUGUGAGCCUGUAUUCAUCAUUAUUUACCAUUUGAUCAGCUAAAGCAACUUGACAUUUUCCCCGCACCUCUCUCUUUUGUGUUUUGAUCAUAAUAAUUUAGGGAUUUAAACAAUUUUCUAUGAAAAGUUGCUGUUCCCUGAAGACACAAUCCUAAAUGGCAUAUAGAGGUGAAAUUGGUCAUUUCAAAAGUUUUCGGAUGUAGACAUGCAAAACAAUUUGAAUUUCUGAUAAUGAAUCAGUGCUGGGUGCAUAAAUUCUGCUUACUGUCAUAUUCUAAUUAUUCUAAAAUUGAAAUUGCAAAAUGUAACCCAUAGGAUUAUGUAAAGAUAAUAUAUGGUUGGUGUAAGAUUUUUCUUUGUUUACCCAUUUGUUCCAAACGCAGUUUCCAAUCCAGCUGCAAAAUAUAAGCUGGGGGAGUUUCUUGCACCAUUGCUUCACUGUUCCCCAGUUGCCCUUUUCUACUCCGUUCUAUAUUCUGAAGAAAAUAUGAAAUAAC